UAUAAGUGUAUCCAUAAGUUUUCUUGCCCAGCUUUGAUCGUCCGUUUUAUUUGAAAUUUUUUUAUAAUUAGUAGUUUUAUUAUUAUAAGAUGAUAAAACAUGAAUAGUACUUUAUAUGUGACUUAUGUUUUUAUUUUUUUUAAAAAAAAAUUAAAUAAGACGGACGGUUAAAAUUGUGCACGGAAAAUCAUGGCUGCACUUGGA
rfam:Oryza sativa (indica cultivar-group) chromosome 3, whole genome shotgun sequence.